CGCCCCAGGCGAGAAUUGAUCCGCACCUCUUGCCUUCAGGGCAGUUGUGCUGCCGAUUACACCACUGGGUC